UACGAAGGGGGCUAGCGUUGUUCGGAAUUACUGGGCGUAAAGCGCACGUAGGCGGAAUGUUAAGUCAGGGGUGAAAUCCCGGGGCUCAACCCCGGAACUGCCUUUGAUACUGGCAUUCUCGAGUCCGGAAGAGGUGAGUGGAAUUCCGAGUGUAGAGGUGAAAUUCGUAGAUAUUCGGAGGAACACCAGUGGCGAAGGCGGCUCACUAGUCCGGUACUGACGCUGAGGUGCGAAAGCGUGGGGAGCAAACAGG
rnacentral:rRNA from 1 species